rnacentral:rRNA from 1 species
GACGAACGCUGGCGGCGUGCCUAAUACAUGCAAGUCGAACGCAAUCUUUGACUAAUGAGUGCUUGCACUCAGCGGUCAAAGUGCGAGUGGCGAACGGGUGAGUAACACGUGGGCAAUCUGCCCAAAAGUGGGGGAUAACACUUGGAAACAGGUGCUAAUACCGCAUCAACCGGCUGACCGCAUGGUCAGCCGGGCAAAGACGGCGUCAGCUGUCGCUUUUGGAUGAGCCCGCGGCGUAUUAACUAGUUGGUAAGGUAACGGCUUACCAAGGUGAUGAUACGUAGCCGAACUGAGAGGUUGAUCGGCCACAUUGGGACUGAGACACGGCCCAAACUCCUACGGGAGGCAGCAGUAGGGAAUCUUCCACAAUGGACGCAAGUCUGAUGGAGCAACGCCGCGUGUAUGAAGAAGGUCUUCGGAUCGUAAAAUACUGUUGCCGGGGAAGAACAAGUGCCGUUCGAACAGGGCGGCGCCUUGACGGUACCCGGCCAGAAAGCCACGGCUAACUAC